rnacentral:rRNA from 1 species
AGAGCGAACGCUGGCGGCAGGCCUAACACAUGCAAGUCGAGCGCGUGUAGCAAUACACGAGCGGCAGACGGGAGAGUAACACGUGGGAACGCGCCCUUUGGUUCGGAAUAACUCAGGGAAACUUGAGCUAAUACCGGAUAAGCCCUUACGGGGAAAGAUUUAUCGCCAAAGGAACGGCCCGCGUCCGAUUAGCUAGUUGGUGAGGUAACGGCUCACCAAGGCGACGAUCGGUAGCUGGUCUGAGAGGAUGACCAGCCUCACUGGGACUGAGACACGGCCCAGACUCCUACGGGAGGCAGCAGUGGGGAAUAUUGGACAAUGGGCGCAAGCCUGAUCCAGCCAUGCCGCGUGGAUGAUGAAGGCCUUAGGGUUGUAAAGUCCUUUUAACGGGGAAGAUAAUGACGGUACCCGUAGAAUAAGCCCCGGCUAACUUCGUGCCAGCAGCCGC